GGAAUUUUCCGCAAUGGGCGAAAGCCUGACGGAGCAAUACCGCGUGAGGGAAGACGGCCUAUGGGUUGUAAACCUCUUUUUUCAGGGAGGAAUCACUGACGUGUACCUGAAGAAUAAGCAUCGGCUAACUCCGUGCCAGCAGCCGCGGUAAGACGGAGGAUGCAAGUGUUAUCCGGAAUCACUGGGCGUAAAGCGUCUGUAGGUGGUUGAACAAGUCAACUGUUAAAUCUUGAGGCUUAACUUCAAAAUCGCAGUCGAAACUGUUUGACUAGAGUAUAGUAGGGGUAAAGGGAAUUUCCGGUGGAGCGGUGAAAUGCGUAGAUAUCGGAAGGAACACCAAUAUGGCGAAGGCACUGUACUGGGCUUUUCCUGACGCUAAGAGACGAAAGCUGAAGGAGUGAUUAGGAUUAGAUACCCCUGUAGUC
rnacentral:rRNA from 1 species